UCGCGACCCCAGGUCAGGCGGGACUACCCGCUGAGUU
rnacentral:rRNA from 1 species